UUAUAAUUAGUAUUAUUACAAAUAAUAAUUACCUAUCGGUAGUUCAUAUUUCAUAUUGUAUAUAGUGUAAAUAUUAUAUAUAUACGAGGGCUAAUCAAAAAGUAUCGAGACUGAUAAUAUUGCUCGGAAACCGAGCGUUGAAGAGCAAAAUGAUUUGUAAACCUAGCUUCUAUGACUUAUACUGAGCACAUCUAUUCGUAUAAAAUCUCUAUAAACUUCUUCGUUUUGAUUUGACGAUAUUUUUCUAAAAUUUGUUUUUCACGUUUGGCGAUUUCGUAAUGAAUCCAAAAGAAGCGGGACUUGCUGCCACUCGAGGGCACAUUUUCAGUUUUUCAAUUGACAUUUAAUGGCAAAAACCNGUUUAUUACAAAAUCGCCAAACUCGAAAAAUAUCAGUGAAAUCAAACCGAAGGAUUUUAUAGAGAAGCAAUAAAAACAAAUGUACUCAGAAAAAGUUAUAGGAGCAAGUGAUACCAAUCCUACUGCUUUUCGAUGCUCCUUUACCGAAUGAUACUACCAGUCUUGAUACUUUUUGAUUAGCCCUCGUAUAUAUAUAUAUAUAUACAUUAUUAUUAUUAUAUAUUAUACGUAUUAUUAUGAUAAUUAUUUUGAGACGCAACAAAUGGUUCUAUAAACAACAAUUGUAUUUUGUUUCGUUACGAUAUUCUUGUCGAAAACUGUUGUUGCGCCGCGUUACCGCUAUUCGGUUUAUUCUCGCGGUUGUCAAUUAUUAUUAUUGAUAACAGCGAUCAUGGUACACAUUGUAACGUUUGUAUAUUUUAAUUGUUUCGGUUAACGCAUAUUGUUGUGUAAACACUGGCGUCAAAACGAUACCCGGUAAAAUUGUUAACAAUAUUGUUUCGGGUUGUUAACACCGCGAAAACGCGUCUAUUAUUCGGCAGGUAUGUCCAUAAUAAUAUAAUAUUGUAAUAUCGUAAUAUUAUACCUACGGUCGUGAAGUGAACGACGUCAAUAAUGACAGUAACGUCAAUAACGAUAUUGUGUUCAUGAGUGAAAUAAUAUAAAUUAUUAAUAUAACAGUGAUGUACUUUUUACACUUCGGUACUAUUGUUUUCAUACCUUUGGGCGUAACUUUGAGUUCUUGUUUCCGUUCCCGUCGGUUCGCGUUUGUCACUAUUGUUAUUUUAGUCGUAAUUAUUAUUAUUUUUUGUUUUAUAGUAGUAACUGUUGAAAAAAACCGCUAUCGCUAAACACGCAUAUAUAGUAUCCGAGUGGCGUCACUAAACAAAUUCAUCUCAGUGGUAUAGUGAAAAUGUUUU